rnacentral:rRNA from 1 species
GAUGAACGCUAGCGGCAGGCCUAAUACAUGCAAGUCGAACGGUGUAGCAAUACACAGUGGCGCACGGGUGCGUAACACGUAUGCAACCUACCUUACAUUGGGGGAUAGCCUUUCGAAAGGGGGAUUAAUACCGCAUAAGACAGUAACUAGGCAUCUAGUAGCUGUUAAAGAUUUAUCGAUGUAAGCUGGGCAUGCGUCCAAUUAGUUAGGUGGCGAGGUAAUGGCUCACCAAGACGAUGAUGGGUAGGGGAACUGAGAGGUCAAUCCCCCACACUGGCACUGAGAUACGGGCCAGACUCCUACGGGAGGCAGCAGUAGGGAAUAUUGGGCAAUGGGCGCAAGCCUGACCCAGCCAUGCCGCGUGCAGGAAGAAGGCGUUAUGCGUUGUAAACUGCUUUUAUACAGGAAGAAACGACCCUUGCGAGGGGCAUUGACGGUACUGUAUGAAUAAGCACCGGCUAACUCCGUGCCAGCAGCCGCCGUAAUAC